UUUGCAAGAAGUACAAUAUUUUGGAGCUGGUCUUUGAAGCUGGCAAUGAUUCUUUUGAUUUUUGAAGCUGCUCUUUACACCGCCAUCAAUUCCGACAUUGAAGCCGCUCUUCAGGUUAAAGGGCUUUCAAGCAAAGAAUUUGUUGUAUGUAAUGAUUUGGUACUUGCACUACCCAAUAGGAUAACUGCAAUUUCAGAUGGUGCAGCAGCUACACCCAAACAAUCUGGUGGAUGGGGAGGUUCAGGUUCUCGUGCAGAAAUUAAAUUUGAUUUAGGUUAUAAAAUUGCAUUCGUUCCAAAGGCUUUUCCCCUCCACACUAAUCAUUUAUCCGCUUCAAUGUUAUACAAUUCCUUUAUCGUGAUGAUAUGUUUAUCAUUUCUUUCUAUAUUUGGAAUGGAUACAAAAUGGACAAUUUGAUGAUACUUUCAACAAACUGAAGAAUCAAGUCAAUUCCAACAAGAAUAUGAAUUUUGCAAAAUGUAACAUGCAUGUAUUUUUUUGGAAUAUUUCAUUAAGGUCUUGUUCAUGAUUCUGUUAUGGUCCCUAGUUCUGGAUCGAGUCGUUGGACGAUUAACUGAAAAGUCAGGUCCAAUAGACAGGUCUAAUCCCCUGUUCUUGUUCCUUGACUUGCCUAUGAUUGCUGAAAUUUGCAAUUCAUUCAGGGAAUUGCAGACCUGGGAACUUGUUUGAGAAAGUUCCGAAUCUCUGAAACUUGAUAAAAUCCAACUUAUUUUAUUAAUCAUGUCAACUCUCUUAAGUAGAGGUUUACAAUAGCAAGAGUCCUAAUAAAUUAAAAAUAACAAAGUCCUAUAAAACUAAAAUAAUAAGAAUCCUAAUCCCCUCAGGAAGUUAUGUUCGACUAAAACAACUAGAACAAUAAUUCAGAAAUAUUAAUCAUUCUGGCGUCUGUAAUAUUGUUUCCCGACAAACGCAUCAAUAACAGAUUCAUUGGAAGUUUUUUGCCUUUUAUUACAUCUUAUUGCUGACUUGUUGGUUCCUAAAUACCGAUGUAUGGUUUUGUUUCGACUUCUCAUAGGAUCAAGGUUUGGAGGUCAUAUUAGAAAGUUUUGAUACUUCGAAAAACAUGGUCAGUGAUAUGAAUGAGGUCUGGGAUUCUUUUUGUGUGGUCUGUUUUCCUCCUUCUAUAAUGUGGAUAUUAAUGAUUAUCCAAUCUAUGAAGGAGUUGGAUAGGCAAGUCCUCUGAUGGAUGAGACUGAGUCUAAGAUCGACAAGGCUACAUCUGACCUUAAGAAUACGAAUGUUAGGCUUAAGGGCACGAUUAACCAGGUAAAUUGAGCGUCAACUAUCUUAUGUCAUUCUCCGUAAGUUGAGGCAGUUUGCAGGAUAGUACUUCUAUCUUUUGAUGUUACCAGAUUUAACAAGUCUUUUCCUUUUUCAACUGAGAUCUAGCUGAAACUUCUGACAUCAUUUUGUUGUGCAUAAUUCUUGGAGGUGCGGCCUAUUUGUAUUAGUUAAAGGGCUUUCAAGCAAAGAAUUUGUUGUAUGUAAUGAUUUGGUACUUGCAAUGCCCAAUAGGAUAACUGCAAUUUUAGACGGUGCAGCAGCUACACCCAAACAAUCUGGUGGAUGGGGAGGUUCAGGUUCUCGUGCAGAAAUUAAAUUUGAUUUAGGUUAUAAAAUUGCAUUCGUUCCAAAGGCUUUUCCCCUCCACGCUAAUCAUUUAUCCGCUUCAAUGUUAUACAAUUCCUUUAUCGUGAUGAUAUGUUUAUCAUUUCUUUCUAUUUUUGGAAUGAAUACAAAAUGGACAAUUUGAUGGUGAUUACUUUCAACAAACUGAAGAAUCAAGUUAAUUCCAACAAGAAUAUGAAUUUUGCAAAAUGUAACAUGCAUGCAUUUUUUUGGAAUAUUUCAUGAAGGUCUUGUUCAUGAUUCAUCGGAAGGAUUUUGCCUUUUAUUACAUGUUAUUGCUGGCUUGUUGGUUCCUAAAUACCGAUGUAUGGUUUUGUUUCGACUUCUCAUAGGAUCAAGGUUUGGAGGUCAUAUCAGAAAGUUUUGAUACUUCGCAAAACAUGGUUAGGGAUAUGAAUGAGGUCUGGGAUUCUUUUUGUGUGGUCUGUUUUGCUCCUUCUCUAUUGUGGAUAUUAAUGAUCAUCCAAUCUAUGAAGGAGUUGGAUAGGCAAAUCCUCUGAUGGAUGAGACUGAGACUGAGACUGAUGGAUGAGACUGUGCUAAUUUGCUUUAAUUUGUGGACAGAUUGACAAGGCUACAUCUGACCUUAAGAAUACGAAUGUUAGGCUUAAGGGCACGAUUAACCAGGGAUAUUGCUUAUAUCGGCAAAAUAAAUUGGAGGAGGCUUUAGAGUCCUUGAAAGGGCAAGAAGGAAGUACUGAGUCAAUGCUGUUGGAAUCUCAGAUUUUGUAUCAUUUAGGAAAGAUGGGUGCAUCUGUCGAUAUUUAUCAAAAGCUCCCGAAAUAUUUAAACAUUCUUUGUUCGCAAACAAAGAUCCCACAACUAUUUCAUCCAAUGAAGCAUCUUCUCUCAAAAUCACACCUGACAAAUCGUCUCUUUUACUCCUCGAUCUUUUUCUUUUUUUUGAUACUUUUCUAUUCUGGGCCCUUUUUCUCAAUUUCAUACCAUGAGAUGAUUUUGUUUCCAGAGGUUCAAACUCUGAUAUUGGCUCAACUGGUAUCGAUGUCUCAUCUCUUUCAAUCUGCAUUUCCUCUUGUUGUACAAUAUUGACUGCGGACAAAGAAUUUUUUUCCGCAAUAUCAACAAUGAAACGGGAAGUCUUGAAAUUUGGAUCAUUUUCAACAAGUAAAUGCAAGUAGUAACUUCCUCAUCAUUUGUUACUUGCAUUCCUUUGCUUGUUUCUAGAUUCGAGUCAAACCAAAUAUUUGCUUUAAUCUCACCCACUUUCAGUUUUAGACCUGAAAAAUCUUCUCGGCAAGACCUUCAAAUGUUAUCCCAUCAUUCACAAGAAUUAGCUUGAUCUCACGAUCCAAAUACUUGUUAUCUGUAGUCCAUUUGCCAUUGUAAGCAAUAUAUAUGCAAACCCUAUCCAUCCU